GUGGGGAAUUUUGGACAAUGGGCGAAAGCCUGAUCCAGCAAUGCCGCGUGUGUGAAGAAGGCCUUCGGGUUGUAAAGCACUUUUGGCAGGGAAGAAACAGUGCGUGCUAAUACCAUGCGCGAAUGACGGUACCCGCAGAAUAAGCACCGGCUAACUACGUGCCAGCAGCCGCGGUAAUACGUAGGGUGCAAGCGUUAAUCGGAAUUACUGGGCGUAAAGCGUGCGCAGGCGGCUUUGUAAGACGGAUGUGAAAGCCCCGGGCUCAACCUGGGAAGUGCAUUCGUGACUGCAAGGCUAGAGUGUGUCAGAGGGAGGUGGAAUUCCGCGUGUAGCAGUGAAAUGCGUAGAGAUGCGGAGGAACACCGAUGGCGAAGGCAGCCUCCUGGGAUAACACUGACGCUCAGGCACGAAAGCGUGGGGAGCAAACAGGAUUAGAAACCCCGGUAGUCC
rnacentral:rRNA from 1 species